rnacentral:rRNA from 1 species
GACGAACGCUGGCGGCGUGCUUAACACAUGCAAGUCGAACGGUAAGGCCCUUCGGGGUACACGAGUGGCGAACGGGUGAGUAACACGUGGGUGAUCUGCCCUGCACUUCGGGAUAAGCCUGGGAAACUGGGUCUAAUACCGGAUAUGACUCCGGACUGCAUGGUCUGGGGUGGAAAGCUUUUGCGGUGUGGGAUGGGCCCGCGGCCUAUCAGCUUGUUGGUGGGGUGAUGGCCUACCAAGGCGACGACGGGUAGCCGGCCUGAGAGGGUGACCGGCCACACUGGGACUGAGACACGGCCCAGACUCCUACGGGAGGCAGCAGUGGGGAAUAUUGCACAAUGGGCGCAAGCCUGAUGCAGCGACGCCGCGUGAGGGAUGACGGCCUUCGGGUUGUAAACCUCUUUCAGCACCGACGAAGCGCAAGUGACGGUAGGUGCAGAAGAAGGACCGGCCAACUACGUGCCAGCAGCCGCGGUAA